rnacentral:rRNA from 1 species
AUGGAGCGCAAAUUCGAGGUGGGCGACUCUGUGCUGCUCAAACUACAGCCAUAUGCGCAAUCCUCUGUCGUCAAUUGACCGUGCGCCAAGUUGGCGUACAAAUUCUUCGGGCCCUUCAAGAUUCUGGCACGCAUCGGCAAGCUCGCAUACAAGCUGGAGCUACCCACUGACAGCCGCAUCCACAACGUCUUCCACGUCUCGCAACUGAAGCCCUUCACACCCAAUUACUUGCCGGUGUUCUCCGAGCUUCCACGACCACCGGACUUGUCCAUCACCGACAACGAGCCAGCGGAAAUCAUGGACCGCAGGAUGGUCAAGAAGGGCGAUCAAGCGCUGGUCCAGCUCCGCAUUCGUUGGUCUUCUUCAGCGUCGGGCACAACCUGGGAGGACUAUGAAACACUACGGCAACGAUUUCCGGCGGCGAGUAUUUGGCGCGAGACGAUGACCGGUCAAAACCAGACAACGCCUGAAGAUGAAACACAAAUGGAAGACGGGGCUUUCUCUGAAGAAGAGGGGCAUGUCACACCUGCAUCCCACUGA